rnacentral:rRNA from 1 species
AGCUAGUUGGAGUAGUAACGGCACACAAGGCGACGAUCAGUAGCCGGUCUGAGAUGGAUGAACGGCCACACUGGGACUGAGACACGGCCCAGACUCUACGGGAGGCAGCAGUGGGGAAUUUUCCGCAAUGGGCGAAAGCCUGACGGAGCAAUGCCGCGUGAGUGAAGAAGGUUUUCGGAUUGUAAAGCUCUUUUGUUAGGGACGAAUGUGCACAGUGUAAAUAAUGCAGUGUAAUGACGGUACCUAAAGAUAAAGCCACGGCUAACUACGUGCCAGCAGCCGCGGUAAUACGUAGGUAGCAAGCGUUGUCCGGAAUUAUUGGGCGUAAAGCGCGCGCAGGCGGGCUGAUAAGUCUGUCGUUUAAAUUCGGGGCUCAACCCCGUCAAGCGAUGGAAACUGUCAGCCUUGAGUGCAGGAGAGGAAAGGGGAAUUCCCAGUGUAGCGGUGAAAUGCGUAGAUAUUGGGAGGAACACCAGUGGCGAAGGCGCCUUUCUGGACUGUGUCUGACGCUGAGGCGCGAAAGCUAGGGGAGCGAACGGGAUUAGAUACCCCGGUAGUCCUAGCCGUAAACGAUGGGUACUAGGUGUAGGGGGUAUCGACCCCCCCUGUGCCGGAGUUAACGCAAUAAGUACCCGCCUGGGGAGUACGGCCCAAGGCUAAAACUCAAAGGAAUUGACGG